GACGAACGCUGGCGGCGUGCCUAAUACAUGCAAGUAGAACGCUGAAGGAGGAGCUUGCUUCUCUGGAUGAGUUGCGAACGGGUGAGUAACGCGUAGGUAACCUGCCUGGUAGCGGGGGAUAACUAUUGGAAACGAUAGCUAAUACCGCAUAAUAGUAGAUGUUGCAUGACAUUUGCUUAAAAGGUGCAAUUGCAUCACUACCAGAUGGACCUGCGUUGUAUUAGCUAGUUGGUGGGGUAACGGCUCACCAAGGCGACGAUACAUAGCCGACCUGAGAGGGUGAGCGGCCACACUGGGACUGAGACACGGCCCAGACUCCUACGGGAGGCAGCAGUAGGGAAUCUCCGGAAAUAGACGGAAGUCUGACCGAGCAACGCCGCGUGAGUGAAGAAGGUUUUCGGAUCGUAAAGCUCUGUUGUAAGAGAAGAACGAGUGUGAGAGUGGAAAGUUCACACUGUGACGGUAUCUUACCAGAAAGGGACGGCUAACUACGUG
rnacentral:rRNA from 1 species